rnacentral:tRNA from 4 species
GGGGAUAUAGCUCAGCUGGUAGAGCACUUCCGUGGCACGGAAGGGGUCUGGGGUUCGAAUCCCCAUAUCUCCACAA